rnacentral:rRNA from 1 species
AGGACGAACGCUGGCGGCGUGCUUAACGACAUGCAAGUCGAGCGGUAAGGCCCUUUCGGGGGUACACGAGCGGCGAACGGGUGAGUAACACGUGGGUGACCUGCCCUUAGCUCUGGGAUAAGCCUGGGAAACUGGGUCUAAUACCGGAUAUGACCUCGCGAUGCAUGUCGUGGGGUGGAAAGCCUUGUGCGGCUAGGGAUGGGCCCGCGGCCUAUCAGCUUGUUGGUGGGGUGAUGGCCUACCAAGGCGACGACGGGUAGCCGGCCUGAGAGGGCGACCGGCCACACUGGGACUGAGACACGGCCCAGACUCCUACGGGAGGCAGCAGUGGGGAAUCUUGCGCAAUGGGCGAAAGCCUGACGCAGCGACGCCGCGUGAGGGAUGACGGCCUUCGGGUUGUAAACCUCUUUCAGCCCUGACGAAGCGAAAGUGACGGUAGGGCAGAAGAAGCACCGGCCACUACGUGCCAGCAGCCGCGGUAA